AACACAGUGCUCUGCCACUGGA
rnacentral:miRNA from 1 species